ensembl:lncRNA novel transcript
GCUGGGCGUGGUGGCGGGCACCUGUAAUCCCAGCUACUCAGGAGGCUGAGGCAGGAGAACUGCUUGAAUUGCUUGAACCUGGGAGGCGAAGGUUGUAGUGAGCAGAGAUCGUGCCACUACACUCCAGCCUAGGUGACAGAGACUCUGUCUCAAAAAACAAACAAAAAAACAAAACAAAAAAAAACAGUUGGACUUGAAUGUUUUUAACUGGGCCCCAUCACUCCUUUUUGAAUAGUUUGUGUUGCCAGUCACACCCUGUAGGGUUUGUAGCCUGACUUUUCAAGCAGUGUGGUGGUAGGGAGUCCAAGGAAGUUGAGUGGACUGUUUUGGACGUCUUUGGAGGAAUUGGUGUGGAUGGGUAAUGACUUAGUAUUUCAUUGAAAUGUUCAUUUCUCUCGAGUUAUUUCUGGCAGAGGAUAGCUCUAGUAGUCCCCUUCUCUUUUCCAAACACCUUUACCUUUGUCCUAAUGAAAGUACUUAGUUAUCUCUUUGGGCAGAUGCUAUUUCUCUAGCUAAAUUAACAUGUCAUCAUUCACAGUUGGAAAACUGUGGCUGUGCUUUUUCAUUUUUAGAGAAAUGUUUUUAAAAUACAGAAAAGAGGCUGGGCGCAGUGGCUCACACCUGUAAUCCCAGCACUUUGGGAGGCCGAGGUGGGUGAGUCACUUGAGGUCAGGAGUUUAAGACCAGCCUGGCCAACAUGGUGAAACCCUGUCUCUACUGAAAAUACAAAUAUUUAGCUGGGCAUGGUGGCGCGCACCUGUAAUCCCAGCUACUUGGGAGGCUAAGGGAGGAGAAUCGCUUGAAAGUGGGAGGCGGAGGUUGCAGUGAGCUGAGAUUGCACCGCUGCACUCCAGCCUGGGCAACAGAGAGAGACUCCAGCUCAGAAAAAAUAAAAAUAAAAUACAGAAAAGAAAGAGAAUAACUGUCACAAACCCAUAUAUCCAUCACUGAGAAGUGGCAAUUGUAAAUAUUUUGUAAUUUGCUUUAAUUUUUUUAAAUAAAAGAAAUAAAGUUUAUUCACAGC